GCCUGGUUGGCUCAGUCACUAGAGCAUGUGACUCUUGAUCUCGAGGUCGUGAGUUCUAGUCCCGUGUUGGGUG
rnacentral:tRNA from 1 species